AUUUCUGCUGUACUGCUUCCAUGACUAGUCACGCCCGUCGCUUCACGACUAAUCAAGACCGCGCUUCAUAACUAAUCAAGCCAGUAGCUCUUCAACAAGUCGAGCCCGGCAAUUCAAGACUAGUCGCGCCCGUCACUCUCCGACCAGCCGCGCCCGUCAAUCCAAGACUAGUCGCGCCCGUCGCUCAAAUUAAUAAUUAACAUAGCACAAUUUCUAAUAUCGCAUUGAAGCGGUAAAUUUAGACAUUUUGUGUUCAAAAAUCUGAGUCUAUACCAUUAUUCUUUCAAUAGCAUAAGCUAUCAAUUAACACAGUUCAAGCACGUUUUCACAGUAAAGCUAAAUUUUCUAGCCUAACUCAACAAAAAACGUAUUUAAUGUGUCAACAAAUGAAAUCAGUAAGAAAUGGUAAAACAAGUACACGAUUCAGCUGACAUAAGCGAAUCUAUCGUACAAGCACGUACGUCAUUACACAAACUGUGGUAACGUUUACGACUCAAAUCAAAUCACGCCAACCGCGAUGCAACAUCUAUCGCGAAAAUUUUUUGUUCUCAACCUUACGCUUACUAUACUUCAGCACGUUUGGAUGAACGAAAAAUAAGUUUUACAGGUCGAAACUAAAAAUGUCUACCACUUCAUAGGUUUCGCUUUCGCUGUUCAACAAACUUUAUGUUACGAAAGUGUUUCAACCUGGUAACUGUUACUUCGGGAAAACCUAAGCAUAGUCUGGACCUAAGUUAACCAACUUUUACAUGUCAGUUAUCAUGAUCUAUAUGUCUGAAGGUUGCCUAGCAUCUACAUGUUGCUACAUCCUUGUAAUGUCUAUGGAUAUGAUCAGAAAUACAUCAGGCCAGCCGCUUGAAGUACUAUGGCACAACCGUGCACAGUAACGCGACAUUUUAUUAUCAUAAGGUGGAUUAAGUUCGCGAGCGUGUAACAACAAUCAAUCGAGACUCCCACCGAUGGUAGCGAUGCUAAUUCACGAACUUAGCUCAUGUUCUGUUCGUUAGUUCCGACCUUCUUAUAAAUCUUUUUAGCAUCUCAAAAUCUGAUGUACGAGUUAACAUUUGGAAAAAAUCUGUACAGUCCGUUUUUCCGUAAUUUCGUUUCUCAUCAGUAAUUUUACGAGCAUUGCAACAAACUGUAUCACAGUCGCUCGUCCUGCAAAGUUAAUUCAUUGCACAUAUGAAUUACGCCUAGAAAACUAUACAGUCAUUCUAAAAAGCUAAAGUACUAAGUACACUUUUUAUCGACAUUGCGUUUUCUAACUUUGCAGUAAUUGUGUAAAGGUUACAUUAACCUUAACAACAGACCAUUAACUAUUAUUUGAUAGUUGAAACAACACAAACAAAGAAUGAAUUUUCUUUUCAUUUUUAAAAUGCUUGUAUGCUUCACAUUGUCUCACGCAAAACCGUCGAGGUGAAACUCAAAUCAGUUUUUACUAGCAACCUAGUAAAACGCAAAGUGUUCUCUGGAAACUUUGGCAACCAUCCGAAGUAUUUUUAAUGCAGUUUUAACCGAUUUGAAAUACAACACGCUUUCAACUUCCGAUAAACGAAGUGAGUACAAACUUGAAAGCAUUAUGUCAUGAGACAACAUGACAAUCAAGGAUUUGCAUCGUCAUUCUUGUUCCAACACGACGAACAAUCAACAAAAACCAACUUAAUCACUAGCUAAACUGCACUUGACAUUCUGCAAUAUAAAAACAAACGCAGUUCAGCAUUCACUCAGCUCAACAUUAGCUCAGCUCAACUUCAACGCAGCUCAGCUCGCAAAAUAUUUCCUGAGUGACCACCAUCGUUUCCAUCAUCAUGGCAUGAAAAAUAACCACCACAAAGACUUGGUAAACGACAACACUUCGUCUCAAUGGGGAA